rnacentral:lncRNA from 1 species
CAAUCACAUUCCUGGAGCUCCACAGAGGACACUGCCCUGCUCAUUGUUGCCGCUCUUGCUGAGAGAUGCUUCACAUCAGAAACAUGAGUGCAGCAGGAGAUAUCCAUCCCAAGUGGCACCAAAGAGAGAAAGGAAUGAAUUCCUCAUGGAAGGCGCUCUAUGGACAAUUCCUUUUUAUCUUCACAAGUCCUGGAGAAACAGCAGUGGAUUGCCCUGCCUUACUUCACCCCUGGGCUGGUCCCCUGCAUGUGUCUCUCACAUAAGGAGCUCUGAUUGCUCUCCUCCUUUUCUGUUAAAAACAUCCAAGAUUACAACAUCUGCAGCUAGGUAGAAAUAUUUAUCACUUGAGAACAUAACAUAAAGACAUCUGAAGAGUGAGAUUGGAGAACAACUGCUGAUUUUGUCACUGAUGCUACAAAAUUUAGAAAUGCUAA